GGAUAAUACAUUUUUUAAAUGCUUUUUUUUUCCCCUCCAUUAGGUUUCUGCCUCCUUUAAUGAACUAGACAGAACUUUAAGCUCAGGUUUGCCUCAGUUCAUAUAAACAAACAGAAUGCCUACUCUCCUGAAUGGGGGAGGUCCAGAAAAGGAUAUCAUGUCCCAGUGAUGUGGGAAGGUUUUCUGGUGGUUUGUGGCCAAGGACCACCGUCCUACAGCAAGGUGCUACAGCAAAUCAGCCACUCUGAUUUGGCAUCUCCUUUGGCUGAGUUACAGAGCAGAGUUUCUGAGGCUCAGAAUUAUAAUCCUGCUUCCUCCCCUUUGUCUAUGGCUAUUCUCAAGGAUAUUUAUUUCUUCUGGCACUCCUGAUGCUUCCCAUUGCUUGAAGCAGGAACACACCUCAUGCCGGGGAACCAAAGAUGGGUUAUGAAAUAAUCUAUACUGGCAAUUUCUGCAAGUUUGACAAGUCAUCUGUCUUUAAAAUUGGGGCAAGACAAGAACAUUUAAAAAAACUCUUUGUGAAGAGAGACAGUGUCUCAGAGUGUCUCACUGUGUCACCGAGGCUGGAGUGCAAUGGUGUGAUCAUAGCUCACUGCAGCAUCCAACUCCUGGGCUCAGGUGAUCCUCCUGCUUCAGCCUCCUGAGUAGCUGGGACAGCAGGCUCACACCAUCACACCCAGCUAAUUUAACUUUUGUAGAGAUAGAGUCUCACUAUGUUACCCAGGCUGGUGUCUUGAACUCCUGGCCUGAAGCAAUUCUCUGCCUCAGCCUCCCAAAGUGCUGGGAUUAAAGGCAUGAGCCAUUGUGCCAGUAUGGAUUGUUUGUUUUUGGAAUUUUUAUUUAAUAUUUUUUGACUACUGUUGACCACACUUAACUGAAACUGCAGAAACUGAAAACACAGAUAAAGGGCGCUAUUGUAUUUUAUGAUUCCUCCACCAUUUAGUUACUGUGGGGGUGCUACUGGAGACUGUAAAUCUCCUGUUCCUCAAUAACCUUUCCACUCUAUGGUUUUAUCAUCUAUUGAUAAUUUUCACCGGAAUGAAAUUUACUGCCUUCAUUCUAAAAUAGUAAUUUUCCAAUUUAUAAUCUAUUUUGUAUGUUUUAGUCAGUAUUCUAUUGUUAGAAAAGGAUUUGUUUAUAGCAUACUUGUCUUUCUCUUUAUUUAUCUGCAAUCAAUACAGACUCAGAAAUCAUUUUAUUCGGAAUUUUAAUCUAUGUGCGUCAAUAUGGAUCCUGGUCAAAUUACUAUUACAGUAUAUUUUACAUAAGAUACACUCAUUUAGAUGCAUUGAAUGGUUGAUAAAUUUUGAGAAAAGCACACAACAGAAUCAAAAUAUAGAACGUUUUUGUUAUGCUCAUAUUUCUCUGUUGUCCUUUUGCAUGAUUGCUGAAAACUUCCAUUAUAUGAAAAAUGUUUUUCUUUGUAUCACUAUAUAUUUUUGUCAAUUCUAAAAUUUUAUACACAUAAAAUUACCCUGUACUUACUUGUGUGUGCCUGACUUCUUUUGCUUAGCUUAGUGUC
rnacentral:lncRNA from 10 species